rnacentral:tRNA from 1 species
GCCUUCAUAGUGUAAUGGUUAGCACACUCGGCGCGUAUUCGAGAGGUCCAGGUUCGAGUCCCGGCGAGAGCA